AAGGCAAGACAGUAGUUAGAAAACAUCAACAACUAAUGUAUAGCAAGCACAAAAUUUGCUCCUAUGUUCAAACUGUCUAAGAAAACUGGUCAGACCAACAGAUUAACUCGAAUACCAAAAUUAAAUUAUCCCGGCAGAUUAAACUAAAGGAUAUAGCCCAGAAUAAACACUUGUAUCCAGAAGCAGGUAGGUUUUCUUUCUUUCUUUCUUUUCUUUUUGAGGACACCAGCAGCAAGUUUUCACUAUGAUCAUUGGUGCCCUGGGAGGAGAAACUAGGACGAAAAAAAGGUUUUAGGACUGUACACUUGCUCAACUACAGCUUUUAUGCUAAUGAUUCUUCAUUGUUCGUACCCCACUGUUCCUCGGUAUCAUUUCCGUUCACAAGGACAGUACCGUCAGUCGAACCAUCAGCUUCAACAUCAACCUCAACAGCAUCUUCUUGGCUCUCUUCUACUCCAUUUUCCUCGAUAGCCUGGUGGACCAGAUUGAUAUUACUAUAUUACAACUUAAAGCAAGGAGAAAAGAAAAUAUAAUGAAUAGCAAAAAAUGUGAUUUUAUUGAAAUAAUGAUCACUUUAAAAGAUUGGUGAUAAAUAUAGGACAUCGCAUGCCAAAAAAAAAAGAGAUCAGUUUAGUAGAAGUAAUUUAACAUCUUCAAAUAGCUACCCACUAUUUAACAAUAUUUUUUUACAACUCUUUCUGUAAGAGUGAUACCUCGUGAGUGUCAUCUCCAUUUUCAUCUGGCAGCACCUCCUCUUGAUGUAUACGCAUAUUUUUGAAAGCUUCCACCAGAGUCUCGUUAGGCCUCUCAGCAUGGAUAAUGUACUCCUUAGCUGGUGCAUAAAUACCCCUAUACAAAUAGGAUUUCAUAUUACAAUAAAGAAAAAGUACAAAUGAGCACUGACAUUACUUCUAUUUAUUUCACUAUAUGUGCUCAACUGAAGCUAAAUGUGAUAUUCCAAACCAGCAUCCCAUACAUGGUAGAGGGCAUCAUUCUUACUUCAUCAGAUGCUUUCAAUUAAAGAGAAGAGGAAAGCAAACCAUGACGGCUUGUCCCAUGUGUGGAAGAGAGAACAGGUAAAACUUUCACAAAAGAACAUAGUUUUUACUUUUACAAACAGACCUUUUGGGCGCAACAUUAGCUUCUACAUUGAGAGCAAUUUGCCAGUCUUCAAACAAGUUUGGGUACUCGUUGGGAUCUGCCAAUGAUUCUGCCGCUUUGGGGUUUACCUAUAAAGAAAAUGGCACGAGAAUGAAAAAAAAGGCAUGGUAAGAUAAUAAAACACAUAUCUCCUACAAAUUAAACAGUGUCGCGUAGCGCAAGUCUGAAAAUAAGAACAAUACUCUAGCACAAGAUUGAUUGUCUUUUGGUUAGUUUUGCAUGCUAGCUCAGAUAAUAGACAAAAUGCCCUUGAAUGCCCAUGAUUUAUCAGGUACACAAAAUAUAGAUUGGGCAUUCUGCCUGUUAGGAUGGAAACAUCACUAAAAAUCAUCAGUAUUAACACCAGAAACUGGGUACCUUUUGGAGGGGGAAAAAAGAGACAGAUGGUACCUUUUGGAGAUCCUUUUUCCAUAAUGUUACAAUCUCAGGGACUUUGCUCGGAAGAUAAGAUCUCGACAUCAAUGCUGCUUCUGGUAUACGAUUACUGUAUAGAGAAUAUAACGUGAUCACCAUAAAAUAAAAAAUACAUUUUCUGAAUAAGCAUUGUACUAUUAAAUAGGAUAGUCUUGGCAAAUGGCAAUACCUUUCGAUUAACAAUUGAAGACAUUCUUCCAGUUUUCCAAGCAUGAAGAAACAAAGGAAAGCAACAUUGUUCUUCCCUUGUUCUUUAGCCAUAGAUGUUAAUUUUGUUAGCCCUUCAGCAUCACCAAGGGAUGAAUACAGAAGUAAUAAACCACUGAGAUCCAUAGCAUGUAGAAGACACUCCUCUGCCAUAUCAAGCUGCAGAAUUGACACUUGACAUGUUAGAAUAUGAGUGCACUCUUUUAGCCAGUUUUGUAUCUGGCAAGGUGCUGAAACAUAACAUGGCAAAGUUAUUAAAUUGCAAGAAUUCUACUUAAAACUAAGAUGGUAAGUUAUUUUUUUACACACAGAACUCUGCCAUCAGGCAAAACUAUUGUUUUGCACGCAUAAUUCUACUUUUAAAAACAACUACUCCUUCCGUUUCAUAUAAUAAGUCGUUUUGACUUUCUUUAAAAAAAUCAAACUUCUUGAAUGUUUAACCAAGUUUAUAGAAAAAAUAUAGCAACACUUAUAGCACCAAGUUGGUUUCAUUACAUCUAACAUUGAAUAUAUUUGAAUAGUUUUUUUCUUUUGUGUUAAAAAUAUUGCUAUAUUUUUCUAUAGAUUUCGUCAAAGCUAAAGAAGUCUGACUUAGAAAAAAGUCAAAACGACUUAUAAAAUGAAAUGGAGGUAGUACAAAAGAUGGACAGAGCAAAAGCAAAGGCACAAGAACUUCUUAGGUUCUAAUUCAAGCAUCAUAGCAACAAUCAAAGCUACUUCCCAUCAAAACUGCAAUAUUAUCUCUUCACAAAUGCCUUUGUUAAAUUAUAUACUUCUUCUGUCCAACAAUAUAAACAUUUCUAGACUGUUGAGCAAAGAUUAAAGUUGAGGAGAAAGUACUUUAGUGCCCUCAUUUAAUGAGAAGGUUGGGGUUGAAGAGUAGUUGGGCGUAAGAUGGGAAGAAAUUUAAAUGAGGUGAUUGAUUUUACAUAUGCAUUGUAGAAAUGCUUAUAUUCAUGAACAAAAUUCAAAUGCUUGCUUAUAUUGUUGGGAGGAGGGAUUUAUUUCUGUGCGCUCAUAAUUAUUAAGUUACACGGUAUACUGGUACUAAUAAUCAAGAAACUAAAAUGCCAUGGCAGAACAGUCCCACUUAAUUAGCACAAUAUAUAUAUUGACCACUCAUAGAAGAUACUUCCUCCGUUUCAUAUUAUAAGACUUUCUAGCAUUGCUCAAAUUAAUAUAUAUGUUAAUAAAUCUAUAUAUAUAUAUGUGUGUGUGUGUGUGUGUGUCUAGAUUCAUUAACAUCUAUAUGAAUGUGGGCAAUGCUAGAAAGUCUUAUAAUAUGAAACAGAGGGAGUAGUAACUAAUACAUCCAACAGCUGUACCUUUCCGGUUGACAUAGCUAACUCUCCUAACUGCCUCCACUUGGACUCACUUUGUGCCUCAAUGGCAAUUGCCUGAAAAGCAAAUAGUUAACAACAUUUGAACAAAGACAAAAACAUUCUUGGAAAUGUGAUAAAUAAAUUAAUCAUCUGUGCCUUUGCAACUUCAAGCCGACCAAGCUGCACGGCCAAGUCAAAUCUGUAAUUAGAGUCUGUUGCUAUCUCAAGGGCUUCUUCCAACAUGCCCCGUGAUUCCAAGAAACGUGCCACACUGCAAAUAAAAGGGUUAUCUUCAGAUUCUGAGGCCUGAGUUGCAGAGUACAAUAAUUAGCAGAACAGGGGGCACCUGUCAUGUUGUUCUUUUGGUAUAGAUGGUAAAAGAGCGUUUGCACGAUCGAAGUCUCCACGCAUUACAAGUGUUUUAUACUCAAUCAUAGUAAGGAGUAAAGUAUACCCCACAACACUGCAGUAAGAAAACAAGUUAACCUCAGAAGUUCAUUGUGGCUUCCGAAUAUGAUACGAUACCAGACAACCAAGACUCACUUAAAUUGCUUGUCAAUAAGGUAGACACGGCUUUGGUUAGCAAGAUAUCCCAGUAAAUACAUUUGCCGAUCCAAGUGAAAUAAGGUUGUGACCUGUAAUACAUCGAAUAGUUAUACUACCUCUGAAAAUUAACAGUCUAACCAAAUCAUAUGUGAAUGCAUUUUUGAUAUAAUGAAAAUACUUACCUCUCCUCCUACACAGUAAUUAAGUCGUGACGAAGAAUUGUUGUAGAUAAAACAAUCGCCAACCCAUAGGCCAGUUCGGAUGCGUUCAUUGAUCUCAUGAAGUAGUUCAAAGGCAUCUUCCACACCUUCCUCGCCAACUGAACCCCCUCCAUCCAAAUGAGAAGAAACUACAUCCCUCUGGAAGGUAUAAUUGUUGUGUUAUAGUUACAUCAAGUAGAUGUUACAUCAUUGAACUACAGAGCCAACAAAAUGCAGAAAAACUUACAUUGUACUUCAAAAUGUAGAAUGAGGUGUCACUUGCAAUUGUCACUAAAUCACCACUAUCGGCCCAAUAGAGAUUCUACAAAUAAGAAAGCAGAUCCUAUUUAGCAUCAUAAUAUUCCAAAUGACACGCAAAAAAAAAUUUAAAUCCAGGAACAAAAUUACUCACUUUCACAUUGACAUCAAUUCUGCGUAUCAUCCUGCCCUCUGCCCAGUCAUGGAAGCAAAUAAAAUCAUUUGUACACAUAGCCAGCAAUACUCCACCAAAUAUACGCUCUGCAGAAAAUGGUGGUCUUAUACUCUUUCUCUCCUGAAAUAGAUAGGUUUUAUCAUCAUACUAUGUUUCAGAAACCACAGUAAAGGAGAUUGUUGUGAUAAGCUUGGCAGCUGCCUAAUAAAUAUAAGUAACAAGUUGACCCUGACACAGUAGAAGAAUAAAUGAUUCAUAAUGCCCCUUACUCAAGUCACAUUUUAGUAUUGAUCAGUCUACCCCAACUACUAUAGGCAAUAUUGCUCACUCCCAUAUCCCUAUCCAGAAGGAGUUGGUCAUUUACUGAUUUUUUAUAUUCUAAAGAAAAACAAGAAUAAAACUAACUUUAUAUUAUGAAACCUUCAGUGAUAUUAAUAAAUUGUAGAUGAUUUUUAAUGGAUUUUCUAAUUGUGAUUAGCCAAAUGUGAAAAACGAUUUGAAACAAUGGAUAUGUUAUUUGAAGAUCGACGGUGGUGAUUUAUAAAUGUUUCAUGAGAUAUUCAUUUUUUUAUUAUAUAAUUUGUGGUAUUCUAUUCAUGCUAUAUUUUUUUUGAACUACUUGCAAUUUUUUUUUGGCAAUUUUAUUUAUAUUGGAAUGUGCACAGUACUCCAGCUUGUCCAUGAAAUGUGCACACCUACUAAAUUUUUCUAGCCCCACACAUUGCAUUGAAGGACCCCUACUCUGAUGUACAACGAUAAUUAAAAGAAGGGGCAGUGGGCAGUACAAACCUGGAAAUUUUUACUGUAUAUCUUUAUCCUCGAGGUGCUUUCUCUGACAGCGUAUUCUCCAUCAAGUGACCAAACAAAUUCAAGUGCAGACCCGAAUGAUCUAUUUCUCCAUGCCAAUGCGGUGUAGAUUAUGUAUUCUCCAUCUCCACAUACAACAACAAAUCUUCCAUUUGGAUUGUGCCUUAAACUCUGAAAUGAAUACACUAUUAUUAAUAACAUGCAAACAUAAACCAGAACGUAGAAAAGUUCAUCACAUUUAUUUAACCCGACAAGUACAAUUUCAAAACCGGCACUCCAACUCCAUAAUUACACUAUACUAGAUUUGAUAUUAAUUUAAUUUUACUAUAACAACAGAAUCUCCAUGGUGUGUUUAAAUAAAACAACUCACCAGUGCAAAUGUCAAAUAAACUAACAUAUUAAAAUAUUUCAACAUGCAUGGUCAAAUGGUGUAUACAUGUGACUCGUGUAAUGAAUAGGAAAAAGAAACUUGGGACUCAUUUGCAAGCAUCAAGUUGGUUCUAUUGGAAAACAUCAAUAUGCGAAUGAUGCAUUCGUUUAAAUAGCAAAUAUGAACUUACUUGUGGAUAAAGAUCACAGGUUCCCAACUCCUUCACAACCAAGGGUAAGCGCUCACCAUCUGCAAUCUGAAAAAUGGAACAGGUUAGUAAACAAGACGUAUAAGAAAGUAUACAAGUUUUCAACAUAUUAGCAUGGUGAACAAGAAAACCUCAUUGUCUGCACCAAUAGUCUUGAUAUUAACAGUUUGGAUUUCAUUAUGUUUUGACCAUAUGAUUUUUCCACUGCUGUCCAUGCUAGCAACAGGAACUUCACGGCCAAUUUUUAUCAUUAUUGUCCCUUCAUCAUAUCCGAUCACAACCCUGCACAAGUCAAGUUUUUUCCCGUAUCACUAAAUUAACUUGAAAAGGAAGAAGUUAAUGAAAACAUGAAAAGAAAAGGGUUUCUGUGAAGAGCAAAUUGUGGAAUAAACUGUUUAGCAGACAACGAAAAAGUUUAUAGCUACAUUGGAGAGAACUAUGGAGCAGAGAACAUAUACGCUAAACUAAUCAAAUCUUUAUACUGUGAUUCAUUUUGGGUGUGGGAAACUUCAAUAGCACAUGAAUAGGUGAUAUUUAGUAUCAUGGUACUUGACAUUAACCGUAAGUCCAUAGCAUCCGAAUAGUAAGAGUGUAAUAUUUCCAAUACCUUCUUGAACCCUUCAUGUAUCCUAAAGCCCACACUCGCUCAAGGCCAUAGUUAAGAGUGUUCUCAAGCCUGUAAGAAACAAGCAACGUGUUAUUCCAGUCUACAGUAAGAUUAAAAGGAUCCAAAACAAUGAUUGACAAAAAUGGAACAACCAAAGCAGUCUUCAAAAAAAAGAGAAGAACAAACCAAUGCACAGAGAUAAGAACAUCUUGCCAGGUGCCAACUAAGCAUAUGCAUAUAUAGUAACCUAUAAUACUUAUUGAAGACAGUGUAAUUCAUGUAACUAACAAGCAUAGUAGCUACGCGUAAGUGAAUGUUUGUGGCAUGGGCGUGAUGUGCAUCCUGGUCGCACCCCCCAAAAUUGUUUAUCUAUAUCCUGGUGUAGAAUGCUAGUUUCAAAAUAUGGCAAGAGAAUCUCCUUAUUUUCAACACCACAGGAAAAUGGUAGCUUCAAAUUCUCUGGACACAGUGCUUCACUUCAGAGGUCACCAAUUGUUAGGAAGUGGUAUAGUUGCAUAUUUCUCUUAGUUUGACCCUAACCAUCACUACCAGCUCUGAUGCCAAUCAGGACAGGUUUAAUAGAAAAUAUUCCUCUUAGCUAGUCGUACUUCAAGCUAUAAAUUGCUCUAUAUUGUUACUAAAAUAGGACUGAGUUGUAAUACAAACUUAUGCUAUAGGAGUAAAUGUAACACUUUCACUCAAAAAUUUAUAUUUAGAUUAAAGAAUGUAAUGCUGCAUCAAUCAAAAUUACAUGGCUAAAUAAUAAAUUACUAAAUGCACAAACUAAUUCGUAAAGAAACAAGGACAUGAAGACCAGAAACUAUGCUUGUAAGGUCAUCAAUAGAUAUGACACACCAAUGAUUAUUUAAGAACCAGAUUUUAUGCCACCGAACAGAGUUUUUAUUGCCAUCAAUAGAACAACACACCCACGAGAGUAACGAGUACAUGAAUUUAUCUCAAAAUUCAAACUAUGCAUGAAGUAUCCUAUGAGUUGUAUCAUAGGGGGAGAGAGCGAGAGAACCUGUAGGUAGUAGAGUGCCACAAGCGAACUGUCCCAUCCUCAGAGCCAGUAAGUAUUAUAGGUAACUCCGGAUGGAAACAAACAGCAGAGACAUUAUGUGCAUGUCCUUCAAGCGUUUGAACACAGCUCUUCGUUUGAUAGUCCCAAACCUGAUUCAACGAAGUGUCUCGUAACAAUGUCCAAUAUACUCACAAGAUAAUUCACUGCAGAUGGCAUACCUUCGCGGUCUGAUCAUCAGAGCCUGUAAUUAAGUAUGGGCGAUCACCACCAGUAAAGUAAUCAACACAAUUGACACCUUUUGAAUGGCCAUCUAAUGUGAAAUUAGGAUCAGGGGAACCAAGACUCCAUACCUGAAAUUAAAUAAGGGCACCACAUUCAAAUCCAGACCAAGAAAUGUUAGAAAUGCAAAAACUAUGCCAAGCAAAUGUAAGGAACAAAAUCGCAAACCUUUACUGUGCGAUCAAGUGAAGCACUAGCAAAAGUAUUGGUAUCUUUCGGGUUAAAUGUGACUUGCAUAACAUAGUGAGAAUGCCCCUCGAAGAUUUGAGUGCACAUCCAACCCUUAUCCCAAUCCCAAAGCUUGAUCAGCAUGUCAUCAGAUGAUGACAGCACAAAAGGCUGGGUUGGGUGAACAGCCACACACCUGAUGUAAUCCGUAUGAGCUUCAAAAACCUUGACCUUAUCCAUCGUAUUGUAAUUGUACACACGUAUGAACAUAUCGUCGGCACCAGCAACUACCCAUUGUUUCCGUGUGAUAAAUUUAGAUGACCGAACUGAAAUGGGGAUGAUUAUAUUAGCAAGAUGGUAUAUCAAACAGAAGUAAGCGAUGAGGUGGGAAAGCAUACCUGGUAACUCUGUGACUUCAAAUGAUUUCACCAUCGUCUGAGGAUAGAUGAAUAUAUUAUAAUCAGUUUAACUUUAAGAGUAACUAUGCUGAAAAUAUGUAUGUUUCUUUUUCCGUCCAUCGAUUUCUAGAUUUUACUUUUAUGUUUUACCUCCUCCUGUUUUGCUCUAAAUAGUUUGCAAACCUAUUAAGAAGUCCCAAUUAUGUAGCUAACACUCACACAUCUGAAACAACCAUCUAGAAGUUCAUUGACUCCUUGUUACUUCUAUUUUGACCAUAUUCCUUUCUACAAUGCAUCGAAGACUUCCUCGCUAGGUUUUAAGAAUUCAUCAUUCAUCGCUAUGUUUGACCCCCCCCCCCCUCUUUUUCUUUGUUUUCUUUCCGGGCUCUGGUACAACUUACUAUGAGCGCAUAUCGUCAAAGUUUACUACUACAAGCACACUAAAUCCAAUGUAUCUUGAAUUUUACAUAUGGAUGGGAAUAUCCAUUUUGCAGUACAAAAGCUCAGCGUGCUGGUAGUAGAUAAUCAUCAUUUCAUAAAAUCCAUGAAACCAGCAGAAAAUGACGAAUUAAGCUACUGUGAACAGUCAUGUACCUGCGUCUGGUAGUUCCAGAUGCAAACGCUCCCUGAAUACAGACUCGACAAAAUCCUGCAUUACACCGGAGGAAGUUAUUCAUGUGACUUUGAACAACAUAAUCAUUACAUCACUAGCACCCCAAAACCCAAAAAUCAUGUCACACACACAAACUUGCCCACUCACCAUGGCUCGGUCGGAUGCAGAUCCACGGACUUGGCCCUCUCCGACCUCUGCGCGAGCUUCCUCUGAUCCAACCACCAAACACAUUCAGCUAAACACACCAAAACAAACCAAACUAAGCUAAGCAGAUCCGAGGGAGAGGCGCAGUGGUUACCUUGAUAUCCAACCUGAGCGGCUGCCAACAUCACAGCCAUCGCCAUUUCGCCGCCAGAGAAAAAAAAAAUCACACGAAAGCACGAACGAGAAGGCAAUCACGUCAGUACGCAACAAACAAAAAAAAACCCCAGAUCCACGCGGAAUUCGACGCUCCAGCCACCGGAUCUCGGCACGGCACGGCACGGCACCGCGCGGCGCGGCGCGGCCGUCAAACGGUUCGCCCUCGCCGUACCGAUCCCCACUCGCGGCGAAACCUAAGCAGCGCGAGCCUGGGGGAAGGCGAGAGCGAGAGAGAGAGGGGAGUCACGUACCAUUGUGACGCCCGCGACGGCCGGCUACGGCGGGGACGCGGCUGUUACACAACCUCCGCCGCCGUUCACCGCCGGAAUCAGGCUAGAUCUGAUCGGAGUUGAGGAAGAGAGUAGUAUCUUCGAAAUCGCUCAAGAUCGAGAAGCAGAGGAACUGAGGAAGAAGAAGUUAGAACAGAGUUGUCGGGGGAGGAGAGAUGUAUUUCUCAUUUCUGUUUGCUUAUAUACUAGUUGUUGGCGCACAGGCCUAAAUCCUCCUGGGCUCGCAGGCCCACUCACACAUGAAAGUCUAUAUCUCAUACACUCGUAACAGUAACAGUACCACCCGCCAAAGUAUCAGCUUGUCCCCAAGCUGGCGCACAAGGGAAGGGAUUCUUCAGUACUAUCUCCACCCCAAAAUAUAACAACUUUUGGCUAUUAAUCUUGACAAAUAGGGAGUACGUCAUAGUCUUCCCAAGUUGCAUGAUCGGCUGGCAGCGAGGUCCACUUGAUCAACACUUGCACAUGAGCAGCAUUCGAGCAGCAUUCCCCUUCUUAACAAGCCGACGAUUAAGGAUCUCUGCAGGUACAACUUCAACUGCAUCCAGAACCACAAGAGUAGGCAGACUACCGAAAACAGGUGUGUGAGCCGGCACAUGGGGCUUCAACUGAGACACAUGGAAAACCGGAUGCACCAAACUGUGAUCAGGCAAACCAAGACGAUAAGCAGCAGUGCCAACCUUCUCUAGAAUCUUGGAAGGCCCAAAGAACUUGAACGCCAAUUUGGGAUAUGGACGAUUGACCAUCGAUGACUGAACAUACGGCUAGAGUUUCAGAAAGACAGAUUCCCCAACUGAAAAAGCACGUUCAGAACGACCCUUGUCAGCUUUGUGUUUCAUACGUAACUGAGCUCUUUGCAAUUGCUCCUGAAGAAAAGCUGAGAGCUGAUCACAUUCAAAUACUAAAUCCAUCCACAGCAUGAUGAGUUGAAGACAAAGAACAGGAAUCUGAUUGGAGUGGGGAUUAGUACCAAAGAAUGCUUUAUAUGGUGAACAGCCCAUGGAGGUGUGAGAAGAAGUGUUAUAUCAAUAUUCGGCAAGAUGGAGCCAAUGAUGCCACUUGUGAGGAGAAGCCUGAGUCAUACACAACGAAGAUAUAUCUCCAAACAUUGAUUCACACGCUCGGUUUGCCCAUCGGUUUGUGGAUGAUACGCAGUACUCAUUUGCAACUGUGUGUUCCAAACUUUGAACAAAUCUCCCCAGAAUUUGCUUGUAAAUAUCAUAUCCCGAUCAGAGACAAUCAAGUGAGGAAUACCAUAUGUUUUAAACACAGAACGAUCCAUAGUUGUAGCCACUUGAGAGGCUGUAAAAGGAUACCUCAAAGGAAUGAAAUAAGCAUAUUUAGUGAACCGAUUCACAACUACCAGAAUUACUGAAUAGCCAUCAGAUUUAGGCAAACCCUCCACAAAGUCCAUUGAGAUAUCCAUCCAAGCCUCUUUGGGAACAUGAAGAGGUACCAGCAAGCCUGGCAACUUGCAAUGUUCACUCUUGGCAUGCUGACAUACUUGACACUGCUUAAUAAAGUUAACAUCAGUUUUAAGCCCAGUCCAAGCAAACAACUUCUCUAGACGAUGAUAAGCUGUCGUGUCGCGCCCUGAUUUUCGUUCGGGAUUAAAAAUCAUUAAAUAAAUCAUUUCUAGAAAUUAUAUUAAAAGUUAAAGCAAUUUAAUCAAGUGAAUUAUUGAGGGAAUUAAAAAUUUUCUUUAAAAAUCAUGGCCGAAAAUAUUUUUGUAAAAUUCUCUAUGUUCUAAUUUACUCUCUGAAAUUUCCCGUGAAUUUUCAGAGCUCAAAAAGUAAUUAUAAUAGUACAAACAUCAAUUAAUCAAUUAAAUUAAAUAGAAAACCAUUUAAAAUCUCUUCCUGCACUUUGGGCCGCUUCCGGCCCAAAGGCUUCAUCUCCUCCCUUGGCCCGCCCGCCCCUCCUUCCUCUUUUCCCUAUCGGGCCGCCCUCCUCUCCUCCUUCCUCUUUGGGCUGUCCAUUUCACGUUCCUCUCUCGGUCUCCUCUCUCCCUCCCUCGCCGACAGGUGGGACCGGUGACGCCACCUGUCAGCUCCUCCUCCUACCUCCGGUCUCCUCGGGCCGAAACCGCCAUGGUCACUGCACCCGCCCCACGCUGCCGCUUCUUCCGCGCCUCCUCGCGCCCUCUCUCAUGCGGGCCCGGUCGUCGCACACUACUACACCUCUUCUCCACAUUUCCCCAAAUUCUGGCGCCUAAUCGAGCUCCACUUCGCCCAUGUCGUCGCCGCCCAAAUCCGCCUCGCCCCAGCUCCCUUUCACCCUCCCGAGCCUAUAAAAACGCUCCCCGCACCUCCCUCUCAUUUUUCCCUAGUUCCCUGAGCUUGUCGCAUCUCCUAUGUACACACUGGUCUGCAGGCUGCAGCAGCGGCGGUAGCAGCAAAGGCAGGGAUCCAACUUAACAGAUGAAGUUGCAUGGGCUUGUUCCUCCUAUUCUUUCCUCCUAGCCACUGUCGCUGUUCUUCAUGAAUCAUGAUCUCUAUUUUUGUUUUAUACUGUUUCUUGUAAUUAAUUCCUACUCGCGGUCUCUCUCUUCCUAGUCCCCCAUUUUUCUGGUAUACUAUUUUUUUUGUUUAGGGGUGCUCUUUAGUGAAUUACCUGUAUCAUGGCUUCAUGGGAGCUGGUUCGUGUAACAUGAAACAGAAAAAAAAAAAGGUAAUGUUCGGCUGGUUUAACAUUUUACCCUAUGUACUUUGUGUAAAAUAUGGAUCCGGUUUAGCUAAUCAAAUUCAACCUCAACAAGAAGGGAACAUCCCUCGUAUAUAUAAAGCAUCCUGAGAACCCACAGUAAGGACCUAUGUGUGUAAAAAGGUACAAAAUUUUCUAUCUCAAACAAGGACAAAGCGAUGACUAAUUUCUGUGGGUUUUAUCGUCGGAUAUGCCGAUCUUAAAGCACGCCCAAUGAUUAUACAAGUGGAGGAAAACGGCCUUCACAUAGUUUCAGUAGGAGUCAGCAACCUGUCAAAAAAUAAUUAGCUAUAAUAAAUGAAUAGUUGUUAACAACUGUCGCUAAUUGUAUAGAUGGAAAAACACUUCACCUUUACAAGCUGAAUCAGUGUAUCAGGUUGCUGUCCCGCUGAUUCACUAUUGGUCAGGAGUCAAUACUGCAAAAGGCAAGAUAGUCGUUAGAAAACAUCAACAACUCAUGUAUAGCAAGCACAAAUUUUGCUCUCAUGUUCAAACUGUCUAAGAAAACUGGUCAGACCAACAGAUUAACUCGAAUACCAAAAUGAAAUUAUAACUGAAAUUAUCCCAACAGAUUAAACUAAAGGAUAUAGUCCAGAAUAAACACUUGUAUCCAGAAGCAGGUUUUCUUUCUUUCUUUCUUUCUUUCUUUUUGAGGACACCAGCAUCAAGUUUUCAUUGUGAUCAUUGGUGCACUGGGAGGAUAAACGAGGACCAAAAAAAGGGUUUUAGGACUGUACACUUGCUCAACUACAGCUUUUAUGCUGA
rnacentral:lncRNA from 1 species